rnacentral:rRNA from 1 species
UACGGAGGGUGCAAGCGUUAUCCGGAUUUACUGGGGUUAAAGGGUGCGUAGGCGGGUUAUUAAGUCAGUGGUGAAAGCUCCAUGCCUAACAUGGAAAUUGCCAUUGAUACUGAUGAUCUUGAGUACAUUUGAAGUGGGCGGAAUGUGUCAUGUAGCGGUGAAAUGCUUAGAUAUGACACAGAACACCAAUUGCGAAGGCAGCUCACUACGCGAAUAUUGACACUGAGGCACGAAAGCGUGGGGAUCAAACAGG